UGGAAGAUGUGCCAGGGACAGUUCCUUGUUUAACGUUGAAUGGUGAACUGGUGCUGCUGCUGCGUUCAUUCCUAUGGUAGCAGCACUUCUCCCACUCCGCUACAUGGUUCUGUUUAAGGUAUAGUGAUAAAUUGGUUCACCUUACAGCGAGGACCUGUUUGGUCUACUGGCCAGUGCUUCAGCUGGAGCUCCAGGACACUGAGGAUGUUGUGUCUUUUGGAACUGGGCCUGAUUUUACAGAACAGAAACAAAACAGUUCAUGGUAGCUGUAUCAAUUUAUCCAAUAAAGUAGAUCUACAGGUCUUACUUUAUAUAAAUAAAACUAACCGACAUAAAAAAUAUGCAUGAAAAUGUUCAGGACAUCCAGAAUGGCAAGUAUUUAAAAACACGGUCCAGU